GAAGCACCUGCGCUGGGCGCGGCGGGUAAGCGCCGACACUAGCGGGCGCCUGAACAGUCCAGCGGCGUCAGCGCUGCGGAGCAGGAAAGGGUCCCAAACGCAGGGCGCCCAUGCAGCGUGGCGCCCACCUGUCCCUCUCCUCGAAGCGCUGAGCCAGCACGAUGCACAAAAGGAAGGAGGAAGGGUGAUGUCCCCGCACCCAGGAUUGGAGCUCCUCAGGCAGGAUGGUCAAGAAUUGUUCCAGCACCAGGAACUCCAGGAUCUGCUCCUUCGUGUGUUUCUCUGGCCUCAGCCACUCACAGCAGAGUACUCGUAGUUGGCUCAAGGCCUCCCGGGGACCAGGAGUCUCCUGGUAGCGGAGAUGCCUGAAGCGUUGGCGGAAGAUCUCUUGGCUGGUAGAGUGGUUCCCAGGGAAGGAGGUGGGACGCAUCAGAGGCCACGAAAGGAGCACAAAGGGGGACCGCUGGCCUAAGACAAAGGAGGCGCGAAGAAAAACGCGGAGCUCAUGUCUCCCAGGGUGAUGCCCGGCGGCGCUGGCCCCAGCAAAACUUCUCUACCCCGGCCUCCGGCAGGUGCCCGCCCGGGAGCCCAGGGAGGGGGCUGUCGUCCAGGCCAGGUACAACUCCCCUUCCCACCCUUCACUUCCUACCCAGGGGUCUCGAGAAAAGAGAAGAGGAACAUCAAGACCCCCCUCCAGGGCACGUGACGCGACGCGACGCAACGCAGGUAGCGCAGCGCGGGCACCGUGGGCAACCCAAACCCCUCUCCACACACACCCGCGGAGCUGCCUGCCCCGCCUGCUCACUGCAGAGCCGCCGCUGCCUGCGGGACGGGCAAAAGCCAAGCCGCGAGGUGGACCUCGGGGAAGCCGCCGCCAAUACUAACCUCACAGGACCAGGAGGUUCCAUCGCGGCGCUGCCACAAACCGGGCCACUUACAGCCCUCACCCGAGCUGCAGAUUUGCGCCUGCGCAGGUAGCAGCCUCGGCCUCCAUCUCCCAGAAUCCUCCUCGCCGCCGGCUUCCGCUCGCGGACUUUGGCCCAGGCGCGCGGGCGCUGCCGAGAGGUUGGGAGCCCGGGAACCUGUUCCUGGACUUGAGCGGAGCGGGAAAGAGCGCGCCGCCUGCAGGACUAGACUGGAGCGGCCGGGUGCCCUGGAGGCCCCUGGGAAUUGCAGUCCUUACGCAGGUGGAGAGUGAGCCCUUAUGAGAAAACUCAAGACUCAGAAACAAUAAAGGUUACAGAGAUGAAAUUGACAGAGCCUGUAUUUCA